AACGCGAAGAACCUUACCAGCUCUUGACAUGUCUCGUAUGGGGACCGGAGACGGUUUCCUUCAGUUCGGCUGGCGGGAACACAGGUGCUGCAUGGCUGUCGUCAGCUCGUGUCGUGAGAUGUUGGGUUAAGUCCCGCAACGAGCGCAACCCUCGCCCUUAGUUGCCAUCAUUCAGUUGGGCACUCUAGGGGGACUGCCGGUGAUAAGCCGAGAGGAAGGUGGGGAUGACGUCAAGUCCUCAUGGCCCUUACGGGCUGGGCUACACACGUGCUACAAUGGCGGUGACAAUGGGAGGCUGAGGGGCGACCCCGAGCAAAUCUCAAAAAGCCGUCUCAGUUCGGAUUGCACUCUGCAACUCGAGUGCAUGAAGGUGGAAUCGCUAGUAAUCGUAGAUCAGAACGCUACGGUGAAUACGUUCCCGGGCCUUGUA
rnacentral:rRNA from 1 species